AUACAACAAAGAACGUCAUAAGUAAGAUAGAUUUGA
rnacentral:guide_RNA from 1 species